rnacentral:rRNA from 1 species
GGGGGUGGAAGUGCAGUAAUGCAUGGAGCUGACCAAUACUAAUCGGUCGAGGGCUUAUCCUAA